AUACCAUAAUGAGGGUAUUUUUGCAACAAUUCCUCUAUUCACUUCCAUGCCUCACAUAAGGAUUAUUCAUCUGGUUGUUGAAAAAAGGUGAUCUCAUUUCAUAUUUU